UUUUUUUUCCAUUGCCUUAUUUUGAGAUCUGUUUUUCUAUUUCUUCUUUGUUCUACUUGGAAGCCUCCUGUUUCUGGUUAUCAGUGGUUAUCUCUUCAUAUCUGAGAAAGUAGGUUUGGCUACUGGUGUGGAUUUCUUUUGCUGUCAUACAGAGAUUUGUGUCACACUCAGAACUGUCCCUGCAUCUGCCUGCUUGGGAUACAGAAGUAGGGAUAGUCAUUGCUCUGGCUGUUUACAGUGAAUCAGAUGGGGACUGAUUGCACCACAGGCACAUAAAAAGAUCCCAGUGGAUUCUGGAGAUAUACUGUCCUCCAAUUUUGCAAAUGUGACUGCUGCAUCCAUCAAUGAUGUGAUUAAAGAAGGUUUUAUAGAUCUAUCUACUUUUUGGUGAAAAGACUUCCUGGCUGUGUGUCUUCUGAAAAAUGAAAAAAAAAAAAAUCUCCCCACCUGAGAAGCCCUUUCAUUUAUAAUUGUUUCUUAGACAAGAAGAGGAGGUGGAUGAAUGUUUAGCUGUCUUGCACCAGCUUGCACCCACGGAUUAUUUAGUUUAAUCUCAGGAAAAAGGAGAAACAUAUGUUUUCAUCAUGGCAGAUUUUUACAGAAAUACAUAUGCAAGUGACUUUAAAAAAAAAAGAAUAUAUAUUGAAGGGAUCGAACUCGGGACCUUGCGCUUGCAAGGCGGGCACCGGAACCACUGAGCUAAAUCCCUGGCCCUACCAGACUAUUUCUAAGUAUGAAUCAUCACUCUUUGCUUGGCAUUCAGAUAGCAUUUUCAGGCAUACUUUUACAUUUGAAGUAUUGUUUUAUGGAAGAAAUGAUUAAUAUAAACUGAAAGAGACAUUCCAGAGAACAUCAUUGUUUCCACAAUAAGUCAAUAUGAUUGUUGUGGAAAAACAGACAUCUCCAUCCAUUUAUAGCAAAACGAAUGUCCCCCCAAAGCCUCAUAUUCUCAGAGGAAGCACUUCUGGAAGAAGUUUUAGCAUCUCAUCCUGAUUGAACAAGAUCACAUUGGGUCCAUAUUUCAUAUAAUCAGUCAACCUGUUGGGACCCCUCA